UCCCUGUGGUGAAGAGUCACACGGGAUCCAUUUCCAUUCAUUCGGGUCGAAUUGGUUCUCCUAUAUAAACACACAACCCGACAAUUUUGUUUCUCAAUUAGGGUUUCUCAAGCCUCUCUCCCUCUGCUCUCUAAGACUCUUCAUAGAUCUGCGUAUAAUCCAUCCGAUUCAAGGGUUUCAUAACAAUCGAUUUAUCUACAACUACAUCAAGGUAUGAUUGCGAUAUUAAGAUAUUAUUAUGAUAAGGUGUUCUUAUGUGUUCUUUGUAGAUCCAACAUAGAUUUUUUCAAUAUUUAUUGAUGAUUAUUGAUCUUGAUUUUUUUCAUGUUUUGAUUUUUGAAUCGUUCGAUAUUAUCAUCCGAACUGUUUCUUCUCAUCAUUAAUCAUUGGAAUCCUAAUUGUAUCACUACAACAACGUCAAUACACCAGGGUUUGUCGUCUUCCAGCACAGAUCUUCAAAGGUGAUCUAAUGCUUCAUUAACUAGAUGGCAAUGGAUGUAUUACCUGUACCAUUGCCACAAAGUUCUUUGCCAUGUCCAAUUUUUCUCGACAAGAUCUCAAACAGUGAUAUAUGGCAUAGAGUUUGCUUUGCAUAUGCAAAAAUUGGUGCAAUUGUCCGUUCUAACUCGAACCUAUGGUGGGUUAUGUGUUGUGGUGCUUUUAUAUGGAAAUGACAUUGAUCAAGAAUGGGUUAUUAACAUUGUAAGAGAGUAUGAGGCAAUGAAGCAUCACAUGCUCUGAUGACUAAUCGAAAAGGUUAAUGGCAUGCAAGGAACUAAACAAUUUUUAUUGAAGAUGAUUAUAGUGAUGUUGACUGAUAUUCAUGCGUGAAAUCUACUCCCAUAAGCAGUGAGAAAUGCUUCAAUUUCCACUUUAGUUUUUCAUAGAAUAUAAUCUUUGUCAAUACCGCCAAAAAUGAAGAUUAAGUCAAUUUUUUAAGUGUUGUUAAUUUGGUAAAGGACAUCUAUUUUAAGUUACAUAUGGAUGAUGAUAGAAUGUUACCUGUAACAUUAAUAGUUGGUUUCCAAAGAGUAAGUGAUAUUUUCACUUAUGUUUUUUGUAAAGCUUUGUUUAUCAAUAUUUUCAAGUCUUUAUAUCAUUGUUAUAUGUAGUGUGCAUUUGUUUGGGUAUGUACUCUACUCACUUAUUAAGGAAGAUUUGAUUUCCUUAUUCUUACUUUUUUAUACUUUUAAAUACAAGCCAACUGUCAAUGGCAGUUGCUAAUUUGUAUAUUCCAAAAUUAAAAAUUAAAAAUCUGAUUCUAGCUUUAUUCAUUGUGUCAACAUGAACAAUUGCUUGGUAGUUUCGUUUUGAUUUGAAUAUUAUGAACUUGAUAAACUUUGAAAGAAUGAGUUUUCAUGUCGAGGCCAGUAAGUGGAAACUUUAUAAACUGGAACACUAGAUAGAAGGAUAUGACGCUUACUGUUACCGGAAGCCGUAGUUAAAAUAGAGGUCGACUAUCGCCUAACUAUUGAAGAUGGAUCUCCAAAAGCGCAAAGAAGAGGUCAUGUGAUGCAUGAUGUAUGGGGUGGCAAAGGUCAUUGUAUUUGCAUUUUGUUGGUCAAGGGUCGGAUUGCUGGUCACAUUAUGUUGGUGGCGAGUCAGAUUGCAAUCUAACGUGUAACUUAAAGCUAUAAAACUUUGUACUCAAUUUGUUGCAACAUUAUAACCAUAUCUGUUAUUUUUUUACCAGCUAUGAAUUAAAAAACUGUUUUUAAUUUGAGGUUUUUAUUAUCAAA